rnacentral:rRNA from 1 species
GGACUCAUCGACGCUCAUGCUCGAAAGUGCGGGUAGCAAACAGGAUUAGAUACCCUGGUAGUCCGCACCGUAAACGAUGCAUACUGGGUGUCCGCGGUUCGCCGCGGGUACCGAAGCCAACGCGUUAAGUAUGCCGCCUGGGGAGUACGUACGCAAGUAUGAAACUCAAAGGAAUUGACGGGGGCCCGCACAAGCGGUGGAGCAUGUGGUUUAAUUCGAGGCAACGCGCAGAACCUUACCAGGGUUUGACAUGGGAACGCCGCGGCGAGAGAUCGCCGUUUGUAGCAAUACACGUUCCGCACAGGUGCUGCAUGGCUGUCGUCAGCUCGUGUCGUGAGAUGUUGGGUUAAGUCCCGCAACGAGCGCAACCCACGUUUCCAGUUGCCACCCGCAAGGGGGCCCUCUGGAGAGACUGCCGGGGACAACCCGGAGGAAGGUGUGGAUGACGUCAAGUCCUCAUGGCCCUUACAUCCUGGGCUACACACGUGCUACAAUGGUCGGUACAAUGGGUCGCAACGCCGCGAGGCGGAGCCAAUCCUGAAAGCCGGCCUCAGUUCGGAUCGGAGUCUGCAACUCGGCUCCGUGAAGCUGGAAUCGCUAG